GACAGAGGGGGCAAGCGUUGCUCGGAAUUACUGGGCGUAAAGGGCGCGUAGGCGGGAUGGCAAGUCGGUCGUGAAAUCCCUCGGCUCAACCGAGGAACGUCGAUCGAUACUGCUGUUCUUGAGGAUUGCAGAGGAGACUGGAAUUCCCGGUGUAGCGGUGAAAUGUGUAGAGAUCGGGAGGAACACCGGUGGCGAAGGCGGUUGCCUGGAGCUUUGCUGACGCUGAUGCGCGAAAGCGUGGGGAGCGAUCCGG
rnacentral:rRNA from 1 species